rnacentral:rRNA from 1 species
UACGUAGGGGGCGAGCGUUAUCCGGAAUGAUUGGGCGUAAAGGGUGCGUAGGCGGCCUGCUAAGUCUGGAGUGAAAGGUACCGGCUCAACGGGGUGAAGUGCCAUUGAUACUGCCUUGCUGGAAUGCGGAUGCCGUGGGAGGAAUGUGUGGUGUAGCGGUGAAAUGCAUAGAUAUCACACAGAACACCGAUUGCGAAGGCAUCUCACGAAUCCGCGAUUGACGCUGAUGCACGAAAGCGUGGGUAUCGAACAGG